rnacentral:rRNA from 1 species
UACAGAGGUCUCAAGCGUUGUUCGGAUUCACUGGGCGUAAAGCGUGCGCAGGCGGUUUUGUAAGCCAGAUGUGAAAGCCCCGGGCUUAACCUGGGAAUGGCAUUUGGGACUGCAAGGCUUGAGUGCGGCAGAGGAGACUGGAAUUCCUGGUGUAGCAGUGAAAUGCGUAGAUAUCAGGAGGAAUACCGAUGGCGAAGGCAGGUCUCUGGGCUGACACUGACGCUCAUGCACGAAAGCGUGGGGAGCAAACAGG